rnacentral:tRNA from 1 species
UAUAUUUCGGUGUAAAUGCACAUAAAGAUUUGACCUUUAAGGGGAUGGUGAAAAUCCAUCAAAUAUAA